rnacentral:rRNA from 1 species
UCAAGCGACUGAAGGCCAGUGGGGGAUGCCUGGGCACACGGAGGCGAUGAAGGGCGCGGUAAGCUGCGAUAAGCCGGGGGGAGCCGCACACAGGCUGUGAGCCCCGGAUGCCCGAAUGGGGAAACCCGGCCGGUGGGAACACCGGUCACUCCUUAUGGAGAGCGAACCCGGGGAACUGAAACAUCUCAGUACCCGGAGGAAGAGAAAUCAACCGAGAUGCCCCCAGUAGCGGCGAGCGAACGGGGCCGAGCCCAAACCGGUCUCCUUGUGGGAUCGGGGUUGUAGGACCCACGGACGGUAUCUGAGACGGCAGCGGAAGUCCGCUGGAACGCGGCGCCAGAGACGGUGACAGCCCGGUAGGCGUAGCCAAUGCACAGAUGCUAGUGGUGUUCCUGAGUAGCGCCAUGGUUUCGAGGAACGUGGCGUGAAGCUGGGGGGACCACCCUCCAAGGCUAAAGACUCCCGUGUGACCGAUAGUGGACGAGUACCGUGAGGGACAGGUGAAAAGCACCCCAGUGCGGGGAGUGAAAGAGAUCCUGAAACCACUGGCCUACAAGCGGUAGGAGGACGGACGGGCGCAAGCUCGUCGCGUCUGACUGCGUGCCUUUUGCAUUAUGAUCCGGCGAGUUACGCCUCAGGCGCGAGGCUAAGGGGUUCAGCCCCGGAGCCGUAGCGAAAGCGAGUCCUGUCAUGAGGGCGAGUGGAGUGCCUGGGGGUAAACCCGAAGCCAGGGCGAUCUACCCAUGAGCAGGGUGAAGCUGGGGUAACACCCAGUGGAGGCCCGCACCGGUAUGGGUUGAAAACCGUUCGGAUGACUUGUGGGUAGGGGUGAAAGGCCAAUCAAGCCUGGAGAUAGCUGGUUCUCCCCGAAAUCUAUUGAGGUAGAGCCUCGAGGCGGGCGCGCAAGCGCCGUAUGUCGGCUGGGGGUAGAGCGACUGGAUGGGCGCGGGGGGGCGUGGCUCCUACCAACCCCAACCAAACUCCGAAUACCAGACCGAUGGACCUCGGGAGGCAGUCGCUGAGCGAUAAUGUCCAGCGGCGAGAGGGAAAGAACCCAGAGCCACAGCUAAGGCCCCGAAGUGGCCGCUGAGUAUAGCGAAGGAUGUGUUCCUACUUUGACAACUGGGAGGUUGGCUUAGAAGCAGCCACUCCUUUAAAGAGUGCGUAAUAGCUCACCAGUCCAGUGGGGAUGCGCCGAGAAUGGUCGGGAUUAAGCGGCCCGCCGAAGCUUGGCCUUCAUACUUUGUAUGAGGGGUAGGGGAGCGUUCCGGGAGCGACGAAGCGGCGGUGGAAACCUUGCCGUGGAGUGACCGGAAGUGAGGAUGCCGGACUGAGUACGCGCAAAUGCGGGUGAGAACCCCGCACACCGUAAGCCUAAGGUUUCCUGCGCCAUGGCAAUCAGCGCAGGGUGAGGCGGAUCCUAAGGCGAGGCCCCAGAGGCGUAGCCGAUGGCCAACGGGUGAACAUUCCCGUCCCGUCUUACGACGUUGAAGCAUCAAGGGACACCGGAACGAAGCGGGAGCGGUCUUGUGGAUGGCCGUGUAAAGCCGUAGGGGGCAACCCCGAGAGCCCAUGCCGAGAUGGUCCUUCGGGACCGUCAAGUCUCGUAGAGUCGACGGGCGAGAAAAGCUUGAUGUGGAGUCGUACGACGUCCGUACCGCAAACCGACACAGGUAGGCGAGGCGAGUAGCCUCAGGUGAACGAGUGAGACGUGGUCAAGGAACUCGGCAUAAUGAUCCCGUAACUUCGGAAGAAGGGAUGCCCCUUUUGGUGACGGCCUCGCGCCGGUAGCCGGAGGGGGCCGCAGUGAAUCGGCCCAAGCGACUGUUUAGCAAAAACACAGGUGCAUGCCAAGCCGCACAAGGCGCCGUAUAUGCACUGACGCCUGCCCGGUGCCGGAAGGUUAAGGGGAGGGGUUAGGGCGCAAGCCCGAAGCUCUGAGCCGAAGCCCCGGUAAACGGCGGCCGUAACUAUAACGGUCCUAAGGUAGCGAAAUUCCUUGUCGGGUAAGUUCCGACCUGCACGAAUGGCGUAACGACUUGGGCACUGUCUCGACCACGCGCUCGGCGAAAUGGCAGUCUCGGUGAGGAUUCCGAGUUCCCGCGACAGGACAAAAAGACCCCAUGCACCUUUACUGCAGCUUGUCAUUGCUCGCUGCACAGAGCUGUGUAGCAUAGGUGGGAGCCGUUGAGGCCCGGGCGCCAGCUCGGGUGGAGGCAUCAGUGAAAUACCACCCUGCUCUGUGCGGCGUGCUCACCACGGCGGGCAAACCCCGUCUGGGACCGUGGCAGGUGGGCAGUUUGACUGGGGCGGUCGCCUCCGAAAGCGUAACGGAGGCGCGCGAAGGUUGGCUCAGCGCGGUCGGUACUCGCGCUCAUAGAGUGUAACAGCAGAAGCCAGCCUGACGGCGAGAGCGACGGCUCGAGCCGGGACGAAAGUCGGUUGUAGUGAUCCGGUAGUACCGCGUGGGCGGGCUAUCGCGCAACGGAUAAAAGGUACGCUGGGGAUAACAGGCUUAUCGCGCCCGAGAGUUCACAUCGACGGCGCGGUUUGGCACCUCGAUGUCGGCUUAUCACAUCCUGGGGCUGGAGAAGGUCCCAAGGGUCCGGCUGUUCGCCGGUUAAAGUGGUACAUGAGCUGGGUUCAGAACGUCGUGAGACAGUUCGGUCUGUAUCCGUCGUGGGCGUUGGAGAGUUGAGGGGUGCGGACCCUAGUACGAGAGGACCGGGUCGGACGAUCCGCUCGUGUCCCGGCUGUUCCGCCAGGAGCACCGCCGGGUAGCGAUGAUCGGCACGGAUAACCGCUGAAAGCAUCUAAGUGGGAAGCCGUCCCCAAGAUGAACUCUCCCCGGGGCCUUGAGCCCCCUGAAGGGCCGGAGGAGACCACUCCGUCGAUAGGGCGCCCGUGGACGGCCAGCAAUGGCUUCCAAGCGUAGCGCUCCUAAUCGCCCGUGCGGCUUGACU